GAUGAAGAACGUAGCGAAAUGCGAUACUUGGUGUGAAUUGCAGAAUCCCGUGAACCAUCGAGUCUUUGAACGCAAGUUGCGCCCGAAGCUAUUAGGCCGAGGGCACGCCUGCCUGGGCGUCACACGUCGUUGCCCCCCCAUCUACUCCUUCGGGAUUGCGGGGGGCGGAUGAUGGCCUCUCGUGCGCCUCGUCGCGCGGUUGGCCUAAAUGCCAAGUCCUCGGCGACGCACGCCACGACAAUCGGUGGUUGCGAACCCUCGGUUGCCUGUCGUGUGCGGUCGUCGCGCAUCGAGGGCUCGAAAAAAUUGCCGGGCUUCGGCUCGACUUUCAACGCGACCCCAGGUCAGGCGGGGUUACCCGCUGAAUUUAAGCAUAUCAAUAAGCGGAGGA
rnacentral:misc_RNA from 1 species